rnacentral:lncRNA from 1 species
GCUUUGGAUUUCAAAUAUUUUGGCCACGAGCAUCACUGAAGAGACAAGUAUUGUCGAAAUGCGCAUCUGGUGCAAGAAAAUUGGUACCGUUAAUUUUAUUAUAAAAUCAACUAUAAAAAUCCAUGACUUCAGGUAUAAAUUCACUGGCAAAUCACCAAUAUUCCAUUAUUAAAAGACGUCUCAAAUAAUUCCUUGACCACAAUACAGUAUACG